rnacentral:rRNA from 1 species
CAAACCCUUGUCAUUUAGUUGCUACGAAAAGGGCACUCUAAAUGAGACUGCCCGUGACAAACCGGAGGGAAGGUGAGGAUGACGUCAAGUCCUCAUGGCCCUUAUGGGUAGGGCUUCACACGUCAUACAAUGGUCGGGACAGAGGGUUGCCAACCCGCGAGGGGGAGCCAAUCCCAGAAACCCGAUCGUAGUCCGGAUUGCAGUCUGCAACUCGACUGCAUGAAGUCGGAAUCGCUAGUAAUCGCGGAUCAGCAUGUCGCGGUGAAUACGUUCCCGGGUCUUGUACACACCGCCCGUCACACCAUGCGAGUGGGUUUACCAGAAGUAGUUAGCCUAACCGCAAGGAGGCGAUACCACGUAC